rnacentral:tRNA from 1 species
GCCGGAAUAGCUCAAGUUGGUAGAGCAGG